rnacentral:rRNA from 1 species
AACGAACGCUGGCGGCAUGCCUAACACAUGCAAGUCGAACGAGACCUUCGGGUCUAGUGGCGCACGGGUGCGUAACGCGUGGGAACCUGCCUUUAGGUUCGGAAUAACUCAGAGAAAUUUGAGCUAAUACCGGAUAAUGUCUUCGGACCAAAGAUUUAUCGCCUUUAGAUGGGCCCACGUAAGAUUAGCUAGUUGGUGAGGUAACGGCUCACCAAGCCGACGAUCGAUAGCUGGUCUGAGAGGAUGAUCAGCCACACUGGGACUGAGAUACGGCCCAGACUCCUACGGGAGGCAGCAGUGGGGAAUAUUGGACAAUGGGGGGCAACCCCUGAUCCAGCAAUGCCGCGUGAGUGAUGAAGGCCUUCGGGUUGUAAAGCUCUUUGGUCGGGGGACGAGUGAUGACGGUACCCGCAGAAUAAGCCCCCGGGCUAACUUCGUGCCAGCAGCCGCGGUAAU